rnacentral:lncRNA from 1 species
AUGGCACCAUGCGUGUCUGUGUGAAGAGACGACCAAACAGGCUUUGUGUUACCUAACCAAACUCCUGUAAAACCACACCACCUAUGCCUGUGAUGGGGACUAUCUGAAUCUACAGUGCCCUCGGCAUUCUACAAUAAGUGUCCAAUCGGCAUUUUAUGGACAAGAUUACCCAAUGUGUAGUUCCCAGAAGCCUGCCUGCCAGAGGGAAGACAGCUUAACUUGUGUGGCACCCACCACCUUCCAGAUGAAUUAAAAAACAAAACCGUGUGUGAAGACAAGGAGCUGAAACUGCACUGCCAUGAAUCCAAGUUCCUCAACAUCUACUCUGUGACCUAUGGCAGGAGGAUCCAGGAAAGGGACAUGUGCUCCUCCAAGGCAGAGCGGCUCCCCCCCUUUUCAGUUUGUGCUUUUGUAUGGGUAUUAGCCGGGGUUCUCUAGAGGGACUGAACUAAUAGGAUAUAUAAUGGGAUAUAUAUAUAUGAUUGUGGAAGUCAAUACUUAAUAACACAAUCACAAUCUUGUGAUCGUGAAUGUUAAUACUUAAUAAACUCCCAUAUGUGUGUGUGUGUGUGUGUGUGUGUGUGUGUGUGUGUAUAAAUGCUUGUAAACAGUAAUCUGCCAAAAAUAA